UCCUUUUGUUUAUUAAUUUAAGGUCUAGCCUGCCCAAUGAGGAAUUGAAUGGCCGCAGUAUAUUAACUGUGCUAAGGUAGCGUAAUCAUUUGUCUUUUAAUUGAGGGCUGGAAUGAGGGUUGGACGAGGUAUUGGCUUUCUUUUAUUCAGUUUGAAGAAUUUAAUUUUUGAGUUAACUAAGCUUAAAUUUAUUUAUGGGACGAGAAGACCCUAUAGAUCUUUCAUACGUUCUAAUAUUUUAAUAAUUUAGGGAUUUAUAUAUUUGGGGUUAAAUGAACUAUUUUGUUGGGGUGACUGUAGAAUUUGAGUAACUUCUA
rnacentral:rRNA from 1 species